rnacentral:rRNA from 1 species
UACGGAGGGUGCAAGCGUUAAUCGGAAUUACUGGGCGUAAAGCGCACGCAGGCGGUUUGUUAAGUCAGAUGUGAAAUCCCCGGGCUCAACCUGGGAACUACAUUUGAAACUGGCAAGCUAGAGUCUCGUAGAGGGGGGUAGAAUUCCAGGUGUAGCGGUGAAAUGCGUAGAGAUCUGGAGGAAUACCGGCGGCGAAGGCGGCCCCCUGGACGAAGACUGACGCUCAGGUGCGAAAGCGUGGGGAGCAAACAGG